rnacentral:lncRNA from 1 species
CCUUCACUUUGGGGGGGGCCAAUUUGGGGGGUUUGGCCUCGGGGACGCCCGCGUCCCCCCCGCUCCCCAAAGCCACCUCCAGGGCCACCGCAGGGGCGGCCACCUCCAGGCCGGGCAUUUUGGGCCCUUCGCCGCCCUCGGCGGGCGUUUUGGGGCAAGAAAGGCCCAAUUUGGGCAAUUUCCCUUGGGCGCCGGCUUUGGGCAGCGCCAAACCCACCUCGACCUUGGGGACGGAGAUGGCCAGCACUGGUGCCACUGGUGCCACUGGGGUCACCUCCUUGGGUGGGGGGGGCGCCCAGCCCCACCUUGGGGACCGCCACCUUGGGGACCCCCACUUUGGGCACCCCCACUUUGGGGACCGCCACCUCCACGGCGGGCAAGCGGGGGCCCCCCCCCGCCUCUGGUGUCCCCCCCCCGGGCUCGGUGAGGGUCCCCGGCAGUGCCACCUCCAGCGCCGCCGCCUCCUCCCUCACCGUCACCCGCUGCGGCCGGGGGGCUUCGGGCACCGCGCGGGGGGGGGGGGGGGGGGGGGGGGGGGGGGGGGGGCGUGGGGAUGGCCAGCGGGAGGUGGUGGCACCCAUGGGUGUCCCCUUGUUCCUGGUGACAGCCGUGGGUGUCCCAUGUCCCUUGUGUCACCCAUGAGCACCCUACGCCCCCAGUGCCACCCACGGGUGCCCCACGUCCCUGUAGCCACCUAUGGGUGCCCCAUGUCCCCAGCACCACCCAUGGGUGCCCCAUGUCCCCGGUGCCACCCACAAGCACCCCAUAUCCCCAGUGCCACCCAUGGAUACCCCAGUGCCACCCACGAGCACCCCACACCCCCAGUGCCACCCAUGGGCACCCAGUGCCACCCAUGGGUGCCCCAUGUCCCCGGUGCCACCCACGAGCACCCCAUAUCCCCAGUGCCACCCAUGGGUGUCUCACGUCCCCAGUGCCACCCAUGGGUGUCCCAUGCCCCCAGUGCCACCCAUGGGCACCCUGUGUCACCCAUGGGUGUCCCAUGUCCCCAGUGCCACCCACGAGCACCCCAUGUCCUCAGUGCCACCCAUGGGUACCCCAGUGCCACCCACAAGCACCCCAUGUCCCCAGUGCCACCCAUGGGUGCUCCAUGUCCCCGGUGCCACCCAUGGGUGCCCCAUGUCCCUGUAGCCACCUAUGGGUGCCCCAUGCCCCCAGCACCACCCAUGGGUGCCCCACGUCCCCGGUGCCACCCACGAGCACCCCACGCUCCCAA